GAAUAGGAGUGGUGAGAGAGGGCAUCCCUGACAUGGGUGAGACUGAAAACCCCUGCAUCCUUGAGCUCAUGGACGAUGUGCUCUAUGAGGCAGUAGAGGAGCUCCGCCUGGUACUCGACACUCCACAAAGCAACUCUCCCUUUGGGGCUGCAGUUGGUGAACAAAAAGAAACUCUCAAGGAUCCAAGAUGAUGCUGAUAAGACUUAUUAAAUUUGGAGAAACCAAAUUUAACGUCACUGAACCCAAAGAACCCGGAGAGUCAGUGGUUAUAAGAAUUCCAGUGAUUCACC
rnacentral:lncRNA from 1 species